GACAUUUUAUUAGCACCUCCUGAAGUAGAAAAAAUUGCAUUUCAUUAGGAUAAUAUCUAUGUUGUACUCUCAAGUGUACAUGAAAAGCAGAGGAGCAUUUGCUGGAAAAAAAAUUGGGAAGCAUCCACACUGGACAGCAAUAGAGAAAAGGAAAAGAUUAGUCUGAAGCACUUGCCUGCUGGAAGUGUGCAGGUUUGGGGAAAACAUUUACUGACAGCAAGGUUUGGGUGAGGCAUUAGCGAUUCUCUCCUGCUUGGAGCAUGUUGCUAUGUGUAGGUGAGUCUCCUGGGAAAAAGGGUGAUUAGGAGCAAGCAGUUUUCAAGAUUUGACAAUUUGGUUUAUUGUACUCGAUUUAGCUAGAUAUUAUCAUGGAGGGAUUUUAUUUUUAAUUUGUAUGGUUGUGAAUAUAACAAACUUUAUAAAGACUAGGGCUAAAUCAAAAAAGAAAGUUAAUGUAUUGUUACAAAAUAAUGCUAGUGCCUUGCUUUUAAGUCACUGACCUCCAGAGUGGAAACCAAAACCUGUGAGGAACUUCUCAGUAUAGAGAUGUAUAUCAUAUUCAUUCACUCUCUAGAACAUACCUAUCAGACCUACCUACCAGAGUAGGCUCAAAGUUUUAAUUUUCUCUACUUUGGAACUCUGAUGUGGAGUGUUUUGUUGAUAGUUCUCCUUUAAAAAGGAACAUUAAAGACAGGGGAAGGGGGAGGGAUGAACCAAACAACCCAGUAAUUGCAAUUCUGUGAUAUCAAUUGUAGCUAAUGACUGUGAGAAGUCUAGUGUGUAGUAUUUACAUGUCUUACCCAGUUAAUGUUUCAUGAAAACAUAUAAAUAAUCCUGGCACCUAGAGCUUCCCUUCACAGAUGGCAGGACUGACCUUCAACCACAUAUUUAAGGAACUCUGCAGAGCCUGAUGUGCUGCACACGACAUGAUUUGAUGGGAAGGAAGCCUACCUCUACAGGAGGGCAUCGAGAAAGUAAGAUAAAGCAGCACUCUGAAAGGAACAGCAGCAGGACAUAUCUCAAAAUAUUAUCAAAGGAAAAGUGUUUUCUUAAAGGGCAGCAGUCUCUAUUGCAGAGAUGUUUGCCAUGUGGUGUAUUCUGUAAUUUCAUGUGACAAGAUUUCAAGAUAAAUAGAAGAAAUAACUAUCUUCCC